CCUACGGGAGGCAGCAGUAAGGAAUAUUGGACAAUGGACGCAAGUCUGAUCCAGCCAUGCCGCGUGAAGGAUUAAGGCCCUCUGGGUUGUAAACUUCUUUUAUAGGGGACGAAAAAAGGGCUUUCUAGCUCGACUGACGGUACCCUAUGAAUAAGCACCGGCUAACUCCGUGCCAGCAGCCGCGGUAAUACGGAGGGUGCAAGCGUUAUCCGGAUUCACUGGGUUUAAAGGGUGCGUAGGCGGGCAGUUAAGUCAGUGGUGAAAUCUCUGGGCUCAACCCGGAAACUGCCAUUGAUACUAUCUGUCUUGAAUAUUGUGGAGGUGAGCGGAAUAUGUCAUGUAGCGGUGAAAUGCUUAGAUAUGACAUAGAACACCGAUUGCGUAGGCAGCUCGCUACACAUAUAUUGACGCUGAGGCACGAAAGCGUGGGGAUCAAACAGGAUUAGAUACCCUGGUAGUCCACGCCCUAAACUAUGAUUACUCGACAUAUGCGAUACACUGUAUGUGUCUGNGNGAAGANAUAUAUACNCGNGGAGUACGACGCGAGUAGAACGUAAUAGAGUAGAGNGNGAGAGNGCGAGGACGACACGAGGGAGGAGG
rnacentral:rRNA from 1 species